rnacentral:rRNA from 1 species
GGCUUACCAAGGCAACGAUGCAUAGCCGACCUGAGAGGGUGAUCGGCCACACUGGAACUGAGACACGGUCCAGACUCCUACGGGAGGCAGCAGUAGGGAAUCUUCCGCAAUGGGCGAAAGCCUGACGGAGCAACGCCGCGUGAGUGAUGAAGGUCUUCGGAUCGUAAAACUCUGUUAUUAGGGAAGAACAUAUGUGUAAGUAACUGUGCACAUCUUGACGGUACCUAAUCAGAAAGCCACGGCUAACUACGUGCCAGCAGCCGCGGUAAUACGUAGGUGGCAAGCGUUAUCCGGAAUUAUUGGGCGUAAAGCGCGCGUAGGCGGUUUUUUAAGUCUGAUGUGAAAGCCCACGGCUCAACCGUGGAGGGUCAUUGGAAACUGGAAAACUUGAGUGCAGAAGAGGAAAGUGGAAUUCCAUGUGUAGCGGUGAAAUGCGCAGAGAUAUGGAGGAACACCAGUGGCGAAGGCGACUUUCUGGUCUGUAACUGACGCUGAUGUGCGAAAGCGUGGGGAUCAAACAGGAUUAGAUACCCUGGUAGUCCACGCCGUAAACGAUGAGUGCUAAGUGUUAGGGGGUUUCCGCCCCUUAGUGCUGCAGCUAACGCAUUAAGCACUCCGCCUGGGGAGUACGACCGCAAGGUUGAAACUCAAAGGAAUUGACGGGGACCCG